CAGACAUAUUUUUUUCACCAAAUAUGGCUUAACAAUGACAGGCAUUUUAAACUGUAGGCCGCAAUGUGUGCGAAUUAUUGGCAAAAGGCAACCUCAGGCUGCCUUUUUCUUU
rnacentral:ncRNA from 2 species